CCUACGGGAGGCAGCAGUGGGGAAUAUUGCACAAUGGGGGAAACCCUGAUGCAGCGACGCCGCGUGAGUGAAGAAGUAUCUCGGUACGUAAAGCUCUAUCAGCAGGGAAGAAAAUGACGGUACCUGACUCAGAAGCCCCGGCUAACUACGUGCCAGCAGCCGCGGUAAUACGUAGGGGGCAAGCGUUAUCCGGAUUUACUGGGUGUAAAGGGAGCGUAGACGGCAGCACAAGUCUGGAGUGAAAUCCCGGGGCUUAACCCCGGAACGGCUUUGGAAACUGUGCGGCUGGAGGGCAGGAGGGGUAAGCGGAAUUGAUAGUGUAGCGGUGAAAUGCGUAGAGAUUAGGAGGAACACCGGUGGCGAAGGCGGCUUACUGGACUGUAACUGACGUUGAGGCUCGAAAGCGUGGGGAGCAAACAGGAUUAGAUACCCGAGUAGUC
rnacentral:rRNA from 1 species